rnacentral:tRNA from 1 species
UGGGACAUCGCCAAGUGGUAAGGCUCCGGUUUUUGGUACCGGCAUUUCGGAGGUUCGAGUCCUUCUGUCCCAG